CCUACGGGAGGCAGCAGUAGGGAAUAUUGCUCAAUGGGGGAAACCCUGAAGCAGCAACGCCGCGUGGAGGAUGACGGCUUUAGGAUUGUAAACUCCUUUUGUUAGAGAAGAUUAUGACGGUAUCUAACGAAUAAGCACCGGCUAACGCCGUGCCAGCAGCCGCGGCAAUACGGAGGGUGCAAGCGUUAUACGGAAUCACUGGGCGUAAAGGGUGCGUAGGCGGGGUAAUAAGUCAGAUGUGAAAUCCUGUAGCUUAACUUCAGAACUGCAUUUGAAACUGUUACCCUGGAGUGUGGGAGCGGUAGGUGGAAUGCGUGGUGUAGCGGUGAAAUGCGUAGAGAUCAAGAAGAAUACUGAUUGCGAAGGCAGCCUACUGGAACACUACUGACGCUGAGGCACGAAAGCGUGGGGAGCAAACAGGAUUAGAUACCCCUGUAGUC
rnacentral:rRNA from 1 species